GCCGGCCAGCCAGCGGGCGACGUGCCCGCCGAUGGCCCCGGUGCCGCCGGUGAUCAGGGUGGUGCCGACCGGGUUCCAGGCCCGGACCGGCU
rnacentral:tRNA from 1 species